AUGAGAAACUUCAUCUUAUUCCGAAGAAAAUCGAUUGAAGAAUAAAGGUGCUUCAAUGUGCCAGGGAAGGGUUCAACAGCACGGGAGUGGAACUGAAUUCGAUCCUCGUCGCCUAUUCAAAAUACCGUUCAAUAAGGGAGGGAUUGGGCAAAGAAACUAGAUUUAUGCGCAAGAAUAUCUUCAAAACUGAUCUCAAUCCAUAUCAAACCGCAGUUAUCUUUGGAGCCGAGAGUUUAAUGGGUGAUUUGGUUCCAAAACUCAGUGAAAUGCGAUCAAACACAAAUCUUCUUGCGUGUCGAUUCCCGUUACCAGAGAAUGAUGCAUGGAAAUUGGAGCAUCAAAUCGGAGAAGGAAUCGACGCUGUUUGGGUCUACAAGAGAAACUGA
rnacentral:misc_RNA from 1 species